AGAUUAGCUAGUUGGUGGGGUAAAGGCCUACCAAGGCAACGAUCUGUAGUUGGUCUGAGAGGACGACCAGCCACACUGGGACUGAGACACGGCCCAGACUCCUACGGGAGGCAGCAGUGGGGAAUUUUGGACAAUGGGCGCAAGCCUGAUCCAGCAAUGCCGCGUGCAGGAAGAAGGCCUUCGGGUUGUAAACUGCUUUUGUCAGGGAAGAAAUCCUCUAGGUUAAUACCCUUGGGGGAUGACGGUACCUGAAGAAUAAGCACCGGCUAACUACGUGCCAGCAGCCGCGGUAAUACGUAGGGUGCAAGCGUUAAUCGGAAUUACUGGGCGUAAAGCGUGCGCAGGCGGCUUUGCAAGACAGAUGUGAAAUCCCCGGGCUCAACCUGGGAACUGCAUUUGUGACUGCAAGGCUAGAGUACGGUAGAGGGGGAUGGAAUUCCGCGUGUAGCAGUGAAAUGCGUAGAUAUGCGGAGGAACACCAAUGGCG
rnacentral:rRNA from 1 species